rnacentral:rRNA from 1 species
GUGCCAGCAGCCGCGGUAAUACCGGCAGCCCGAGUGAUGGCCGAUCUUAUUGGGCCUAAAGCGUCCGUAGCUGGCCGCGCAAGUCCAUCGGAAAAUCCACCCGCCCAACGGGUGGGCGUCCGGUGGAAACUGCGUGGCUUGGGACCGGAGGGCGCGACGGGUACGUCCGGGGUAGGAGUGAAAUCCCGUAAUCCUGGACGGACCGCCGAUGGCGAAAGCACCUCGAGAGGACGGACCCGACAGUGAGGGACGAAAGCCAGGGUCUCCAACCGGAUUAGAAACCCUGGUAGUCC